CCGCUCUACCGCCGUAAAAUUCUCCUGGUACCCAGAUAAUAUUACUUUUCCCCGAUCGGUUAGCUGGUCGUGGGGAUCAGCACCCACUUCCCAUUCCUGUCAUAUUCUAAAAAAAAAAUCGAGUCUCGACCGGGAUUAGUGCGUGGCGAGCGGCUGAUGGAUCUGCUCGGCGGCGAUUCUUCGGAGGUGCUCGGCAAUACUGCUAGGUGCCGGCGGCCCACUCCCCGUUCUAACUCAGCGAUGCGGUGAGCGGUCGGCGUGGUGGUCGGCGGGCAGGCCGGGCGGUGUGGUGCUCGGCGGCUGGCUUGAUGUCGGCGGGCGGACCUCAUGUGGCUGUCGCGGCGGCUCUGCGGUGGGUGUGUGCAGCUGUCCAGGCAGAAGAUGGAGAUGAAUCAUCCUGGGAAGUGGGCAGUAGCUUUUGCGAACGAGGAGGCGUGGAAAGUGGGUGCCAACGGGGUGAAGCCCGUGCCGUCCCCUGGCUGUGGAGAGUGGCAGCAGCCAUGGCCCGCCAUUUGAGGUGCAGCUUGUGUUUCAGAUCCGUUUCUGAGUGUGGUACGUGGGUUUGAGUGUGUCUUCAUGUGUGUAAUACUCAUCUGCCAAUGGAGGAAUCCACGAGAUAGCAACUGGCGCACGGGAGGAUGCACCAAAUGCAAAACACUCAACGUUGUACGGCUACUCUGGAACAUUUGAUCUGCUCACAAUGAUUUUCAAUGCAGGAGAGAAUUCAGUGUUACCUGCUGCUGUGGUGUCAAUGUUGCAACUCUGGUAGAACAAUUUUUGGAGAACCCAGGCAAACUGAAAAUCUCUGCUAUGGCAUUUUGAUGGUGGUGGUCGUCUCAACAAGACAGUCAGUAUAAGGCACUGGUUUGUUCCGUUAUGCAACAACCGUUUUGCCGGCUUCCUCGUCCAAGAGAUCAAAAGUUGAGUCUACAAGUAAUGAAGGCCUUGCAUUGGAGACUACAUCAUCUGAUUGAUGAAUUUUGAACCAUGGAGACAAUUUCAGCAAGUUCAAUCCAUAUAUUCUUAAGCCUGCUAGGUGUAAUUGUAUAUACACACCAAUAUAUAGGAGUCAUCUGAUAUAGUGGAAGCUCUCUGUCAUUGACUCGUUGGCAAUUUACCAAACAAUGUUCAAGUUUUCUUACAAAAUACAGGACAUGUUUUGUUC